rnacentral:rRNA from 1 species
AAGAUCAGAAGCGAGAAUGUUGACAUGAGUAGCGAUAAAGAGGGUGAGAGACCCUCUCGCCGUAAGUCCAAGGGUUCCUGCUUAAAGCUAAUCUGAGCAGGGUAAGCCGGCCCCUAAGGCGAGGCCGAAAGGCGUAGUCGAUGGGAACCACGUUAAUAUUCAUGGGCCAGGAGGAAGUGACGGAUCUCGAAGGUAGUUUGCCCUUAUCGGAUUGGGUGGGCUGCUCAGAGGUUCCAGGAAAUAGCCCUCCAUCAGACCGUACCCUAAACCGACACAGGUGGACUGGUAGAGUAUACCAAGGCGCUUGAGAGAACCACGUUAAAGGAACUCGGCAAAAUGCCUCCGUAAGUUCGCGAGAAGGAGGCCCCAUAUCUGGGCAACCAGGUGUGGGGGGCACAAACUAGGGGGUGGCGACUGUUUACUUAAAACACAGGGCUGUGCGAAGCCGUAAGGCGACAUAUACAGUCUGACGCCUGCCCGGUGCUGGAAGGUUAAAAGGAGGGGUGCAAGCUCUGAAUUGAAGCCCCAGUAAACGGCGGCCGUAACUAUAACGGUCCUAAGGUAGCGAAAUUCCUUGUCGGGUAAGUUCCGACCUGCACGAAUGGCGUAACGAUCUCCCCGCUGUCUCUAACGUGGACUCAGCGAAAUUGAACUGUGUGUCAAGAUGCACACUACCCGCGGUUAGACGGAAAGACCCCAUGCACCUUUACUCCAGCUUUGCACUGGUAUCAGGAUUGUGAUGUUCAGGAUAGGUGGUAGGCAUCGAAGCGGGGACACCAGUUCUCGUGGAGCCUCCCUUGAGAUACCACCCAUCGCCAUCUUGAUAUCUAACCGCGGCCCGUUAUCCGGGUCCGGGACCCUGCAUGGUGGGGAGUUUGACUGGGGCGGUCGCCUCCCAAACAGUAACGGAGGCGCGCGAAGGUAGGCUCAGACCGGUCGGAAAUCGGUCGUUGAGUGCAAUGGCAGAAGCCUGCCUGACUGCAAGUCUGACAAGACGAGCAGAGACGAAAGUCGGUCAUAGUGACCCGGUGGUCCCAAGUGGGAGGGCCAUCGCUCAACGGAUAAAAGGUACGCUGGGGAUAACAGGCUGAUGAUGCCCAAGAGUCCAUAUCGACGGCAUCGUUUGGCACCUCGAUGUCGGCUCAUCUCAUCCUGGGGCUGGAGCAGGUCCCAAGGGUAUGGCUGUUCGCCAUUUAAAGAGGUACGUGAGCUGGGUUUAGAACGUCGUGAGACAGUUCGGUCCCUAUCUGCCGUGGGUGUAGGAGACUUGAGAAGAGUUGCCCCUAGUACGAGAGGACCGGGGUGAACGAACCACUGGUGGACCAGUUGUCGUGCCAACGGCAGUGCUGGGUAGCUAUGUUCGGACAGGAUAACCGCUGAAGGCAUCUAAGCGGGAAGCCCCCUUCAAAACAAGGUCUCCCUUGAGAGCCGUGGAAGACCACCACGUCG